rnacentral:rRNA from 1 species
UACGUAGGUGGCAAGCGUUGUCCGGAUUUACUGGGCGUAAAGAGCGCGCAGGCGGUCGUCCAAGUCGCGUGUGAAAGCCCCCGGCUCAACUGGGGAGGGUCACGCGAUACUGGUCGACUCGAAGGCAGGAGAGGGUAGUGGAAUUCCCGGUGUAGUGGUGAAAUGCGUAGAUAUCGGGAGGAACACCAGUGGCGAAGGCGGUUCUCUAGUACGGUACUGACGCUGAGACGCGAAAGCGUGGGGAGCGAACAGG